GCCACCCCGCUUAGGAUCCAAAUUACGGGCACUGAUCACCAGCCCUCAUGCCUUUGGCCAGUGACAUGGAGAGCUCAGUCUGAUGCUUGGCAGCUGAGACCACACUGAUUCUCAGGACAACCAGGAAGACACCAACAGCAUGAUGGAGCCUGCAGUUCUGUGCUGUCUGUUCCGCUGAGCUGCAGCACUCCUGUGACAGCUCUGUCCCUCGGAGGAGCACAGCAAACCCAGUGCCCUGCUGCCCUUCUCCCUGGGACAUUCCUGCCCGUGCUCAGCAGGCAGCGCCAUUCCUGGCCUCUGCUGCUGGCUGCAGGACAGUGCAUCCCUCUGCACUCCUGAGCACAUGGAGGGCACUCUAGGUGAACAGCCUCUGCUGGAGAUGGCAAACAGCAUUGGCAAGGCCACAAGGCUCCUACAGAACCAAGGUCUUUGUCCACUUGGCUAUGGUAGUAGUGUCUACUACCGAGGCUCGUGAGCGGACAUGCUGUCAUGACACUGGGGCCUUGCAACCCCAUAGGGUGACCAGGAGGUGUCAUAUCAUUCUCCUUCACAGAACAUUACAGACCAUACUUCCCACUGACCAUGGAGGAGCUCUGGACCUUAUGUGAGGACCUCCCUUCCCAAGAUCUGGAGCUAUGGCUAAGCCAUUCUGUCUCAUCACAUCAGCCGAGGGCUCUUCUCAACAUUAAAGUCAUUGCAUGGGGCCUUUGCCUACUUGUAAUCAUGAUCUCUAAUUACCUGCUCAAAAAAGACCUUCAGGAGCUUUUGUCAGUAAUGGCCCCCACGGGAGCCAGUUGAUACUCAAAGACACUUCAGCAUUUCCUUCAUUGUGUGGUUACAUCAGCCUCCUCUCAGUAUCUGAAGUUAACGGACUCUGCAAACAUGCAGUGGGGCUCAUUACAGUGCAGAAAGACCUAACAAGCAUUUCCUUCAAGUUAUCCAGACUUGUCCAGUUAAUUGUUAUGGUUUCAAGGUUGUAGAUGAAGAGAAAACUUCCUAGGAUAAUUAAAAAAAAAAAAAAGAGUUAAUCACAUUUAAGGUUUUUUUAAUUACUUUUUUUGUUAAUCUAAGAAGUGAUUGAAGCUUUCUUCAUUUUAUAGUUUUCCCAGGCUGUCUCCUAAGGAGGUCUGGACAAGUAACUGCAUGGACAACCUUGCUCUCCACUUCCCUUCUCCACCACCUCAUUCAUGAGUCACCUCAGACUUGCAUCAUUUUUCCUUACAGCAGAUAUCUACGCUGAAUUCUACAGAUUCUUCCAGUUCCUUUGUGGAAAUGUACACUUUCUUUGUCUUGCAUAUCUCCCUAUGGACUCAGAAUUGUGUGCACAUAGGCUCUGGGCACUGGUCUGUGCCAGCUACAUUCUAUCAAACUUUACUACAAGACUGAGUUUCACAGGAAGAUCAAUUUAGAAAGCAAAUAUUUUCAGUGGAUCAGAAAGUUCACCUGAGGUGAAAUUGAUAAAAAAAUUAAGAAUUAUAGCAACUGUCUUUUCACAACCUGCUGUGCUCAGUGGGAUGCUUCUUCCUCUUGUUCUCAGAAAACUCUUGUCGGAAGCAAUCUGCCGUCCUCUUCCCACUAACAAAUUACUCAAUGGAGUAUAUAUGUGGGAGAACUCCAUUCAUACCCCAUGUCUUCUAGUUUAGACAAGAAGCUUCUCACUGAGAUGUCCUUUCUCAUUGACUUUUUCUGAAGCUUUUUUAUUUCCCGUUGAGAUGUAUUUAUUAUAGCAAGGAGCCCAGGCCUCCCUAUUCCCAAGUGCCUCUACACUCAGUAUCUGAUGAAGUCCAACAAAUACCAGGUAUUCUGGAGAAGAACUAUUUCAAAAAGAGAGGUGAAUAAACCUUUGCUAUUUUAUACCCAGGUAAAAUGCCAUUCAGGAAACUAUUUCUAACCAUCCUUUGGGCAUUUGCCAGUAGAAGCAAAGCAUGUCACUAGUGAUUUUGAAACAUGAGAACAACACAGCUCUCUUCACACACCUUUGCAAGGGGCGUUAAAAAUGACAGCUGGCCUGCAUGCAACUGAGUAAAACAGUCCAGUUUGACAAUGUCUAAGUGAGCAUUGGAAAGACUAACUGAAAAUCCAGACAAGACAACCAACCCGGCUGCUUACAAGUUCUCAUGUCACCUUCCUUUCAGUACCACGUGUGCUGUGCUGAGCCAGCAGUGCAGUAGGUCCUGGUGACACCUUUCCUGAGCAGUGUCUCUUUCUGCCAUCUGGACUUGUGCAUUUCAUGGCCCUGCAAGGAGGCCAGGUCCUUUUGGGACUCUGGAGGACUUCAGCCGGAGUUCCUUGCACAACUCGCUGUAUUGGAUGGUGGCUCUAAAAGCAGCUCAGCUGAGUGUGCUGUGCUCUUACAGAGUAAUUCGCACCUUGCAUAGCUUGAUUCGUGAAUCAUAAGGCUGUCACUUUAGAACAGAAUUAUGGUUGCAAUCAAGGCUUUCCAGUACUUACAGCAAGUAUCAAAGUGAAGUUGUUGCAGAGUCUGCCCUGCUCCUAUUUUCCUCAGCAUGGAGGCUUAUGUUAAAUUCUACAAUGUGGUGGAUUACCUUCUGUAUGUGCUUUUUUUUCUUUUGGAACAAGGAAGCCAUUGUUUUCUCGAUUGAUACUGAGAUGUAAAUAUUUUUAAAUGCAUUGUUCUAAGAGCAAGAAAACAUUUUAUUGAUAACACUUCAUGCUGAGUCACCUACUGUGUGUUUUUUUUUUUUUUUUAGUUCUUUCUGUUCAGAUAAACCCAAAAUGCAUUAGCAGUAAUUUAAUAUUAUAGAUUUCUAAGUGGGUCAAAAAGAUUCUUCAAGUAAAUUUCCAGUCCUCUUUCUCCCUUUCCCUUUAUCAUUUGUUCUUUUUAGACUAGAAGAGAAUAAAGAGAGCUUUUAGGAGUUUUAUUAUUAUUACUACUUUUUAAUAGCAAAUAAGUCCCCUUAAUGCUCUAACAUUACCAGGUGAUAAAAUUGUGAAUUUGCCUUUAGGUGCUAAGUGUUGAUACAGCUUUGUAUAAUGGUUGGAGUUUAAAAAGUGAGAAAACAUAUCAACUACUCCUCAAACCAAAAAUAGGUUAAACUCAGGUAAUCUUUCUUUUCAUUCUUUUUCUGGUGCCCUUUGCUUAUUGCACUAGUUCUGCUACUGGUAGCUGCAUUGCCCUCCUGUGUAACGUUUGCUGUCUUGUGUGUCAGCUGGUAUGGAACGCUGAGGUGUGCUGACUGCAGGAAUAGUAUGGGAGGUGGAUCUUUUCUUUAUGCUUGCUUUUUUUUCUUCUAGUCCCUGCUUCUGCAGGUUGUGAUUCAUGUAUGGUUGGUAGAUGGCCAGGAUUCAUUACAGGAGAAAAUGACGCACAAAACCCUCAAAUGCUUUUAAUACCUUGUGACAUCAGCGAAAAUAAAGGAAUUUCAACAUUCAGCUGCAGAAGGGUUGUGCUUGUGAGUGUCUUAGCCCUGGAAUUUCACGUGGCAGCCCGUUGUAGUCGGCUUCAGUAUCAGAACCUUGGAAUGCUCUCACUUUUUUUCACAAGAACUCUAUCUGAAGUUGUGGCUUCUUAUGAAAAACUGAGAGUUUAAUAGAAUAUUGUGAAUGAGUAAAGUGGGAUUAAAAUCUCGCUGAGAUGCAUUUCUAGGGGAUUUCCCUUUUUGUUUUACUAAUACUUGUGAUAUAGCAUAACUGUCUUCACAGGAAAUAAAACAAAUGAAGCUUG